AACUGAUUUUUGCAGUCUGCAGCAUCCAACCAUAGUAACUUGAGAAUGCAGAACAGCACCAUCUAUUGCCCUGCUUCAGUUACUGCCCUACAUCUGAAUGCAGAAAGUAUGAAACAGCUGAAGUUAAAUUAAUUGUAUAAAUGUAGAAAGUAUAGAAAAGAAAAGCAGAAGUAGAAGAAAAAGAAGAAGUUAGUAUGUUAAAAGAGUUAAAGACAAGAACUGUAACAACAAAGUUCAUAUUGGGGCUGUAUUUUCUACUGACAGAGUGACAGUAAUGCACACAUGGAAACAGUGUGUGUGUGUGUGUGUGUGUGUGUGUGUGUGUGUGUGUGUGUGUGCCCGCGCGCGCGCGCGGCCGAGCCCGUGCGUGUGCAUAUGCGUGUGUGAUCGAAGCACACAGCCCAUGACAAGUGCAGAAUCUGACAGAGACAGUAAGAGAGAAAGACACACAGUAAUGCACUCAUGGAAACAGUGUGUGUGUAUGUGUGUGUGCCCGCGCGCGCACGAGCGGCCAAGUCCGUGCGUGUGCGAUCGAAGCACACAGCCCAUGACAAGUGCAGAAUCUCUGGCUCUGAAGGAAUGUACUCACCUCCUGGGCAAGCUGUACAAUUUCAUGACUUCAGACCGAUUUUGUGAGAAGCAGGACGAGUGUACCUCCAUUUUGAUGUGUUUUUUAUGGCUGUGGAGUGAAAAUUGCGGCCGCAGCAGCAAAAUAAUCAUGCUUGGUGUAGUGAAUCCAAAAGGCCCCGCCCGCAUCUAGUGAUGACGUAACAUCUGACGUCACACGCUGUAGCGUGAGUCAGGCUGAAAAAGGCAGAGAACUUCAUGUUGCUCCAAGCGAAAUUGUGCAAAAACGGUAGGAUAUAGCAAAAAGGAGUGAAUACAACAUUUGUAGCAGACGAGUUGCUGAACAUUUUAAAGCAAAAAUGAGGUCUGUAGGUGAAAGUAUGCAGAAGUUAUAAGGGUGAGAAGGUGUUAUAGCUGUAUCUCCAUUCAUUUGUAAUGGAACAAAUUUUGCAGAAAAAGUGAAAUAUUGCAAAAAGUAUAAAUGGUAGAAAGGUGAAAAGUAAUAGCCGUAAUGUCCUGAAGGAGUGCAUUAGUAUAAAGUUUGAAUGGUGAAAAUAGCACAAAGUGGUGAGGAGUUGAAAAGGGCCAAAAAAGGUACGGAAGAAUAAUAAUAAUAAUAAUAAUAAUAAAGAAAUAGUAGAAUAACAAUAAGUGGAAAUGCUGUGUCAGCAUUUCCACUUAACUAGAAAAAUUGCAUUUCCUUGCAGAAAAUGCGUGGAAAUGCUGAGUGCUGAAAGCUGAAAAAGCAAUGCUAAACUGCUAAUAAAACAUGGAGAAAGGUAUAAAUGUUAAAGCUGUUGAAGGGGUGAAAAAGAAAUAUAAGUUGGAUAACUGUUUAAUUGGUUGAAGGACAAAUAGUAUGACUAUGCUCUAUAAAUGGAAAUUUUAUUCAUGCUGAAAGAGGCUAGAAAAAUGUCUAAAAUUGCACAAAGUUUGAAUGAAGAAGGAAACUGCCUUAAAAGGCAGGAAGGUGAGAAGUGGCAUAAGUUUAAGUUGUAGUACUAGAAGUAGUAUAAGAGGUCAAGUCGUGAUACUAGUAGUUAUGUCAGCAGUAGAAGUAGUUUGAGAAUAAAAGAAGUAUAAGUCACAGUAGUAGAGAAAGUAGAAAUAGGAGCAAUAGCAGUUGAAGUAGAGGGGAAAGUACUAGUUUAAUUGACAUUAGCAGUAGUUGUCGUACUUGAGGUAGGAUUUUUUUUGAAGGAUGGAGUAAUGCAUAAAUAUUAAAACUAAUUUAAACAUGGAAAAUUUAAAUAAUUAAAUUUCACAAGUAUCAGAAAGUUUUUAAGUAUUAGAAAGGUUUGAAUCAGUUUGAAUGAGUUUAAAUUAGUUUGAAAAAUUAAAUGAUAAAUCAUCACUGAGUGACUUUAAAAUGUGAAAAAUUUAAAUGAAAAUAAAUCCUAAAUACACCCCAUAAUGUCCUCAAUGAGCUUAAAUUUUAAAGCCCUGAAUGGUUUCUGUAGGUCAAAGGUCAUGUGAGGAGAUAGGGGCUGAAGUUUUUUCAAGCGCUCCAGGAAAGGGUUUUAAAUGUCAUCCCCAGUGUUAUGUGUACUGAGCCUGGCUUCAUGUGUCUCAUAUGGCCAUUAGAAGCAGCUUUUCAGUCAGCUGUGUGUCUCCAGGUGCACAAAUUGGUUGCCAUGGGGACCUUGGAUGCAUAACUAUAGCAGGAGAAAGAAGGCUUGAAGCUAAGGAAACAGGACUCCAAGUAGGCCCUGAUGCUCAUCCUCUGUAUAAAUUCAUGAUAAGGAGCUUGUGAGAACACAAGACUCUGCUGAACACAUUAAUACAAUUUAUUAUCACAAUCCUCAAAACACCCCAUAAUAUCUUCAAUGAGCUGAAUUUUUGAAGCCCAGAAUGGUUUCUGUAGCUCAAAGUUUGUGGGUGGAGAUAGGUGGUGAAGCAGACACAUAUUAACUGUGUAUACAAGCAGCUGAACUGCAAGGUAGACCUGACAGCAAAAAGUACAAGAAUCUGUGUGUGUGUGUGUGUGUGUGUGUGUGUGUGUGUGUGUGUGUGUGUGUGUGUGUGUGUCUCGUUAAUGAUUGCAUCCUAAACAGCUGUGAGAUCAAAGCAUUAACUAACCUAUUGUUUGAAUGGAGAAGCUGCCGAACUGCAGUGAAUUUAGGGUUCUGAACUUCUUCACAUAGCACGAUUUCCUUAAAUCCCAGAAUGAAAAUAAGAACAUCGUACGAAUCCUCCAUCCUUCAUGAACACAAUGAUAUGUUUUUCAUGUCUGUACUCCGAAAAAUGUGGCCACAACAGCGAGUCAAAAAAGUCUGAGCCUGAGUGACGAUAAGGAUUUUCUUGGAGAAAAAAUACAUUAGGGCCAAUGGGGAGAGAUUUGCGCCUAUUUGGACAGUUGGUCACCUGCUGGCCAAGGGGUAGGAUUUAAUGAUUUGAAACCUCUUUUGUGAGAAGCAGGACACAUAUACCUCCAUUUUGAUGUAUUUUUUAUGGCUGUGGAGUGAGAUUUUUGGGCGUGGGAGCGAUAUAUUCGAGCGAGGUUCUGUCGAUCAGAGACGAGGUCUGCACUCUAGCUUUUCAAAUCAUCACUCUAGCCUCUCCAAUACACCCCCAUUAUAAAGCCUGAAAUUUGCUGAAAACCACAAGUUGCAUAAAGCUAAAUUGUGGAAAAACUGUAAAAGAUAGCAAAAAAAGGUUAAUACAACAUCAAUAGUCGACAAGACAAUGAACAUUUUAAAGCAAAAAUUAGGUCUCUAGGUGAAAGUAUGCUGAAGUUAUAAGGCAUAGAAAGUGGACGAAUAACAGGAAGAAUUGGAACAUUUCCCCAUUCAUUUCUAUGGGAAAAAAAGUUUGGCACAAAAAGUGAAAAAUAAUAAAAAGUACAAAGGACAGAAAGGAAAAAAAUACAAGCACACAUGUCCUGAUGGAGUGGAAUAGUUUAAAGUUUGAACGGUUGAAAUCGGACAAAGUUUGAAGGAGGAGAAGCAGUCCAAAGAAACGUAUGGGGAGAGUGUUAAGUAUAAUACUAGAAAAAUUGCAUUUCCUUGCAGAAAAUGCGUGGAAAUGCUGAGUGCUGAAAGCUGAAAAAGCAAUGCAAAACUGCCAAUAAAAAAUGGAGGAAGGUAUAAACGGAAAAACUGUAGAAAAGGUGGAGUAGAAGAAGAAGAAAUUGUAUGAAUGGAAGAAUUGUAGUAUAGCUGGAGGUAAAUUAGUUGGAUUAAUGUACAAAUUGUCUGAUAGCCUAAGUGAAAAAUGUAUAUGAUUGAUGUGAAUAAACAGAACUGAUAUGGAUAAUUGAAUUUGAAAAACAAAUGCCUUUAAACAAUGUGUAACAAUGUUCCUAUUAAAUGUACAAAUAGUAAAACAGAUUUUUGCAGUCUGCAGCAUCCAACCAUAGUAACUUGAGAAUGCAGAACAGCACCAUCUAUUGCCCUGCUUCA